UAGUGAUUAACGCGAAGAACCUUACCUGGGCUAGACAACGGUGGACCGUCCUAGAAAUAGGAUUUUCCCUUCGGGGACUGCCGGUUCAGGUGCUGCAUGGCUGUCGUCAGCUCGUGCCGUGAGGUGUUGGGUUAAGUCCCGCAACGAGCGCAACCCUCGUCCUUAGUUGCCACCAUUAAGUUGGGCACUCUAGGGAGACUGCCGGCGUUAAGCCGGAGGAAGGUGGGGACGACGUCAAGUCAUCAUGGCCCUUAUGUCCAGGGCCACACACGUGCUACAAUGGGCGGUACAAAGGGUUGCAAACCCGCGAGGGGGAGCUAAUCCCAAAAAGCCGCUCUCAGUUCGGAUUGGAGUCUGCAACUCGACUCCAUGAAGUUGGAAUCGCUAGUAAUCGCGGAUCAGCACGCCCGCGGUGAAUACGUUCCCGGGCCUUGUCACACCGAAUCGAAUUC
rnacentral:rRNA from 1 species